CCAAUAGCGUAUAUUAAAGUUGUUGCAGUUAAAAAGCUCGUAGUUGAAUUUCGGGAUCAAGGAAUCGGUCAUGCCUCGGUAUGUACUGGUUUUAUUGGUUCUCACCUUCUAAAGAACCAUAAUGUCAUUCAUUUGAUGUUAUGGGGAAUUAGGACUGUUACCUUGAAAAAAUUAGAGUGUUUAAAGCAAGCUUACGCUUGAAUACAUUAGCAUGGAAUAAUGAAAUAGGACAUCAGAUUCUAUUUUGUUGGUUUCUAGGAUCGAUGUAAUGAUUAAUAGGGAUAGUUGGGGGCAUUAGUAUUCAAUUGUCAGAGGUGAAAUUCUUGGAUUUAUUGAAGACUAACUACUGCGAAAGCAUUUGCCAAGGAUGUUUUCAUUAAUCAAGAACGAAAGUUAGGGGAUCGAAGACGAUCAGAUACCGUCGUAGUCUUAACCAUAAACUAUGCCGACUAGGGAUCGGAUGAUGUUAAUUUUUUAAUGACUCAUUCGGCACCUUACG
rnacentral:rRNA from 1 species